UUCAGGUGCCAGACUCAUUAUGGACAGAGCACUCCAAUAACAGUGGACUGAUAGGCAGUGUUUCAGGUGCCAGACUCAUUAUAGACAGAGCAUUUCCAAUGACAGUGGACUGAUAGGCAGUGUUUCAGGUGCCAGACUCAUUAUGGACAGAGCACUCCAAUGACAGUGGACUGAUAGGCAGUGCUAGCCCAGUUAUAAUAAAUGUUGAUCCCAGAAACAAUCUCUAGUUUUGAGAGCUACCUUUUAAAAAGGAAAUUCCUUCCAAGGUUUAUCGCUCCCCUUCUGAAUUGGCCGAUGUAUUUUAUAAUUUCAGCGCAUUACAGAUUCAUCUCAAAAUAAUAGACAUUUAAUGAGCGUGAAGCAGAAAGUGAAUAUCCAACGGAAAUUGGUAAUAGAUAUAUAGAGUUACAUUGUUAGGGUAGACUAAAAUGCAAACAGCCCUCCUAUAAUGCCAUAUCUUAAUCAUUUGAAGGAGCUAAGGUUUCAAUACAAUGUUCCAUGUCGAUCAGAGGUAUUGAGCCUCGGGACCGAUAUUAAAUUAGAGGCUGCAAUCUGGUGUUUGGGUUAAAGAUAAGCUUCCUGUGGACCCAUAGAUAAGCCACCAGUGAAAGUGAGUGGUACACACUGAACUCAGGCUGUAAGGGAAACAGUGGGACAAUUUGGAACAGAGGUAUGAAUAAUUGAAUAAGAUACGUUUUUUACCAUUUCCAAUUAUUAUUUCUUAAUUCAAUAGUGUGAAUAACACCAGUGAUUUAAGUAACAAUGUAAUGUCAUUUUAAACCAGUAUUCUGUUUCCAUUAUGCGGAACUGUGUCCAAAAUAGAUCCAAAUAAAUGUUUUUAGUACCAUGGCUGUGAAAAACAAAUAAAGCACUGAUAAGCCAGCACCAACUUUUUAUAAACACUAUCAGAUUUGUUAAACAUUGGGUUUCAUAUUUUGGUUUGAUGCCAUUCCAUUCGCUCCGUUCCAGCCAUUAUCAUGAGCCGUCCUCCCCUCAGCAGCCUCCACUGCUGUGGAUUUAAAUCAUGAUGUGCGGGUGGGAUGUGACCAAGACACACAGUGGAGUGCAGUUGCUUCACGUCGUGCCUUACAACAGCCUUUAGCCAUGAUAUACUGGCCGUAUACUGAACCUCCUCGGACCUUACUGCUUAAAUAACAGACAACAACAUCCUGGCACAUGGAACAAUAAUGGCAUUCUAUAGUUAUCUGCUUUACUGGUCUGUUUACUGUCACAGUACAAUACAAGUGUCCCUGUGUGGGUUGAAGCAGGAAUCUUUAUCAAACCCACUGUCACGCCCUGACCUUAGUUCCUUUUUACGUCUCUAUUUUGGUUUGGUCGGGGCGUGAGUUGGGGUGGGCAUUCUGUUGUUUUUCUAUGUUUUCUAUGUGUUUGGCCUGGUAUGGUUCCCAAUCAGAGGCAGCUGUCUUUUGUUGUCUCUGAUUGAGAACCAUACUUAGGUAGCCUUUUUCCCACCUGGUGUUUGUGGGUAGUUGUUUCCUGUUUUGU
ensembl:lncRNA